UACGAAGGUCCCAAGCGUUGUUCGGAUUCACUGGGCGUAAAGGGCGCGUAGGCGGCGUAACAAGUCACUUGUGAAAUCCCUCGGCUUAACCGGGGAACUGCGUCUGAUACUGGAUGGCUUGAAUCCGGGAGAGGGAUGCGGAAUUUACGGUGUAGCGGUGAAAUGCGUAGAUAUCGUAAGGAAGACCAGUGGCGAAGGCGGGUCUCUGGACAGUUCCUGACGCUGAGGCACGAAGGUCAGGGGAGCAAACGGG
rnacentral:rRNA from 1 species